UCUAUAGCACGUACAUGCAUUUCAGAUCCUUUAAACAACAAGGCUGAGCUUGAUUGCAAGAAAGGUUUUUAAACAUUUAAUAACAUGAAACACUGUAUCCUUCUGGUAUUUCUUCAGACCAGGAAUUUGCAUCUAGGACUUUGUGCCACUGUGUUUCUACUAAUUUGUGGAGAUUCUACCGAGUCAUAUGAGAAUGUUAUUCCAUGCCAGAUGAACAGAACUGCUUUUAAGGGAGAGAUGGUUAUUUUACACUGCAAUGGAAAUCUGACUAGUAAACGGACUAUUGUAGAUUUUGGUUGGCGUAAAGACAGGACCCUUCUUUUCAUCUACAGCCCAGACAAAAACGAAACUGUGACAAACUACACAUCAAGCAGGAUGCAGGUUGACCCCAGGAAUCCAAGAAAACUACAGAUAUCGGAUAUACAGCUUUCAGAUGCAGGAUUAUACUCAUGUUUUCCAUUAGACAUGCAGUGCAUAUUGACUAUAGAAGGUAAUUCACAGGCAAAUGCUUGUUUUUGCUUGUUUUUUGUUGACAGAUAGGUGGUGUGGGUCUGUUCUAUUUCCUUUGAGGACCCUUGACAUGGAACGGUUGGCUUGGAGGAAAACUCAUUGCCACUAGGACAAAUGCUGCAAUACACAAUAUUUUCCUCAGUUACGGGAGCUGUUGCAAUCUGUCUCAUUAUCUUCUGUACUGUGUGUAUUCACAGGAAAUGGAAAAAGAAAGCUACAGUGGACAUCCCUCCACAUGGAGGAGGAAUGAACAACAAUCAGAGCAGCCAGUAUAUUGAGAGACUUAACUCAGUUUAUGGACAAUAUCAGAUCUGAAGAUUUCUCAACAAUAUUGCAGGGCACAGAACUACAAAGGUGAAUAAGUGCUACCUGAUGAUCAACAAUGUGUUUCAGCCUGCAGAUCAUCUGUUAAUUUUCGGAUGUUGUUUGGUUUUCGCACCAUUCCGUAUAAACGCUAGAGACUGUUGCAUGUGAAAAUCCCAUGGGAUCAGCAAUUUCUGAAAUCCUCAAACACAGAGAUUACACUUUUCCCCAUUGUGAUGUUUAAUGUGAACAUUAACUGAAGCUCUUUACCUGUAUCUGCAUGAUUUAUUGCAUUGUGCUGCUGCCACAUGACUGAACAACGAUGAGUGUAUAUGCAAACAUACAUACACAUACAUUCAUAAAAUACACACACGUUAGACACCGAUAUUGGGUGAGAAGGUUUAGAGUGUAGUUGGUGUUCCAGUUCAUCGCAAAGGUGUUCAGUGAGGUUGAGGUCAGGGCUCAAUGAAGGACAUAUGAAUUCUUCCACUCCAACCUUGGCAAAACAUGUGUUCAUGGAUCUCACAUUGUGCAAAGGUGCAUUGUCAUGCUGGAGCACUGAUUGGGACUCUUCAGUGAAGGGAAAUCAUUUUAUACAAUUGUGUGAUUUCAACUUUGUAACAAAUGUUUGGGGAAGAAUCACAUAUUUGUGUUAUGGUCAUGUGUCCACAUAGUUUUGUCCAUAUAAUGUACAUAUACACACAAUUUUAAUGUAGA